UACGUAGGGUGCAAGCGUUGUCCGGAAUUAUUGGGCGUAAAGGGCGUGUAGGCGGCCGGAUAAGUCGGAUGUGAAAUCCCUCGGCUCAACUGAGGAACUGCAUUCGAUACUGUCUGGCUAGAGUCCGGGAGAGGGUAGCGGAAUUCCCAGUGUAGCGGUGAAAUGCGUAGAUAUUGGGAAGAACACCGGUAGCGAAGGCGGCUACCUGGACCGGCACUGACGCUGAGGCGCGAAAGCCAGGGGAGCGAAUGGG
rnacentral:rRNA from 1 species